GUCGAGCGGUAAGGCCCUUCGGGGUACACGAGCGGCGAACGGGUGAGUAACACGUGGGUGAUCUGCCUUGCACUUCGGGAUAAGCCUGGGAAACUGGGUCUAAUACCGGAUAUGACCUCCCAGUGCAUGUUCGUUGGUGGAAAGAUUUAUCGGUGCGAGAUGGGCCCGCGGCCUAUCAGCUUGUUGGUGAGGUAACGGCUCACCAAGGCGACGACGGGUAGCCGACCUGAGAGGGUGACCGGCCACACUGGGACUGAGACACGGCCCAGACUCCUACGGGAGGCAGCAGUGGGGAAUAUUGCACAAUGGGCGAAAGCCUGAUGCAGCGACGCCGCGUGCGGGAUGACGGCCUUCGGGUUGUAAACCGCUUUUGACAGGGACGAAGCGCGAGUGACUGUACCUGUAGAAUAAGGACCGGCCAACUACGUGCCAGCAGCCGCGGUAAUACGUAGGGUCCGAGCGUUGUCCGGAAUUACUGGGCGUAAAGAGCUUGUAGGCGGUUCGUCGCGUCGUUUGUGAAAACUUGGGGCUCAACCUUAAGCUUGCAGGCGAUACGGGCGGACUAGAGUACUUCAGGGGAGACUGGAAUUCCUGGUGUAGCGGUGAAAUGCGCAGAUAUCAGGAGGAACACCGGUGGCGAAGGCGGGUCUCUGGGAAGUAACUGACGCUGAGAAGCGAAAGCAUGGGUAGCAAACAGGAUUAGAUACCCUGGUAGUCCAUGCCGUAAACGGUGGGUACUAGGUGUGGGGCUCCUUCCACGGACUCCGUGCCGUAGCUAACGCAUUAAGUACCCCGCCUGGGGAGUACGGCCGCA
rnacentral:rRNA from 1 species